rnacentral:rRNA from 1 species
GACGAACGCUGGCGGCGUGCCUAACACAUGCAAGUCGAGCGGGGUGAGUUCUUCGGAACGAUCCUAGCGGCGGACGGGUGAGUAACACGUGGGUAACCUGCCUCAAAGUGGGGGAUAGCCUUUCGAAAGGAAGAUUAAUACCGCAUAACCCUUAGCUUCCGCAUGGAAGCAAUGGUAAAGAUUUAUCGCUUUGAGAUGGACCCGCGGCGCAUUAGCUAGUUGGUGAGGUAACGGCUCACCAAGGCCACGAUGCGUAGCCGACCUGAGAGGGUGAUCGGCCACAUUGGAACUGAGACACGGUCCAGACUCCUACGGGAGGCAGCAGUGGGGAAUAUUGCACAAUGGGCGCAAGCCUGAUGCAGCAACGCCGCGUGAGUGAUGAAGGUCUUCGGAUUGUAAAGCUCUGUCUUUGGGGACGAUAAUGACGGUACCCAAGGAGGAAGCCACGGCUAACUACGUGCCAGCCGCCGCGGUAAUAC